rnacentral:tRNA from 1 species
GCCUGGUUAGCUCAGUUGGUAGAGCGCCAGUCUGCUGUGCGGGAGGUCGAGGGUUCGAGCCCCAGACCGGACC